CGGUCCAGACUCCUACGGGAGGCAGCAGUAGGGAAUCUUCCGCAAUGGGCGAAAGCCUGACGGAGCAACGCCGCGUGAGUGAUGAAGGCCUUCGGGUCGUAAAACUCUGUUAUUAGGGAAGAACAAAUGUGUAAGUAACUAUGCACGUCUUGACGGUACCUAAUCAGAAAGCCACGGCUAACUACGUGCCAGCAGCCGCGGUAA
rnacentral:rRNA from 1 species